UACGGGGGGUGCGAGCGUUGCCCGGAAUCACUGGGCGUAAAGGGCGCGUAGGUGGCCCGUUAAGUGGCUGGUGAAAUCCCGCGGCUCAACUGCGGGGCUGCCGGUCAUACUGGCGAGCUAGAGCACGGUAGGGGCAGAUGGAAUUCCCGGUGUAGCGGUGGAAUGCGUAGAGAUCGGGAAGAAUACCAGUGGCGAAGGCGUUCUGCUGGGCCGUUGCUGACACUGAGGCGCGACAGCGUGGGGAGCAAACAGG
rnacentral:rRNA from 1 species